UUUUAAGUAACCUUUCCCUGUGGAUUCGAUUCUGUAAGAUACUACAACGCCUGUAUACUUGCAGCAAAGAUAUCAUUCAAGUGUGAAUGCACACAUGCAGACCAGCCUCAUUCGGACAGCACACAGCCAGACAGCAGCCACUCACUCGGACAUCACUCAUUCGAACUCACACAUGCAAUAAACAUGCAGACCAGCUCACACAUGUAGGACAGCAGCCACUCACACAUGCAAUACACAUGCAGCAAGGAAACUCACACGUGCAGCAGCAGCAGAUUCCUUCUCUCUUUUUCGAGUAGCUGGACGUGCAGCAGGAGAUCAAUAGCAUCACAUGGACAGCAGCUCGCACAUGCAAUAAACCUGCAGCAAGAAACUCACACGGACGGAAAGUAGCUGGAGCAGCAAGAGAUCACAUGGAAGCACGUUGAAGACAGCAGCUGGAGCAACAAGAGAUCACAUGGGAUCAUGGAAGACAAAUGGACGGAAAGCAGCAACAGCAGAGUUUAUUCCUUCUUUUUCGUUCGAGUAGCUGGCAAGAGGAGGAGCUUUUACUUCAUUUAUUUUCUUUCCUUCUCAUUGGAGACAGGGGGACAGUGCAGAUAGUAGGCGGCUGGGAUUUAUUUUCUGGUACUCAUUCCUUUUCACGUUGCAGACGGAACUUGAUUGUUCUAGGGGAGAGUUUUUUUUUUCUGCUUUUAAUUUUUUUUACGUUUCUUGCUGUUGUUUUCCAUACCUGAACUAGGUGGUUUGAAUUUAUUUUCCUUUUAGUUGGUGGUUUAGACGCAAGACAGACUUUCUUUCAUUUUUUCUGCUUACUGUUUUUUUCAUUCGACGUUUGUAGAACAAGACUUCAUUCUUGCUUUUAUGGACAGUUGUUUCUCUGUUUUGUAUUAUGAAUGUUAGGGACGGAAGCUUUUGGUUUUCCUUUCACCUUA